AUGAUCUUCCUGAGCACGAGGUCGCCUUCUCCGAAUUCAUGUGGCUUAACCUUCUUAUCAAGGCAUUUUUGUAACACACUUUCAGCAAUAACAAAAUUUAGUUGGAUGGUAGAAAGAAAUGUAGUUACAAUUUUAGCAACACGAGAAGUUACAACUCAGCCUCAGAAAAAUAUCACCAACAAGUUUUUGUAA